rnacentral:rRNA from 1 species
UACGUAGGCAGCGAGCGUUGUUCGGAAUUACUGGGCGUAAAGAGUGUGUAGGCGGUGUUCCAAGUCUGGUGUGAAAUCUCCCGGCUCAACUGGGAGGGUGCGCCGGAAACUGGAAUGCUUGAGGGUGGGAGAGGUAAGCGGAAUUCCUGGUGUAGCGGUGAAAUGCGUAGAUAUCGGGAGGAACACCUGUGGCGAAAGCGGCGCACUGGACCACAACUGACGCUGAGGCGCGAAAGCUAGGGGAGCAAACAGG